CCUACGGGCGGCUGCAGUGGGGAAUAUUGGACAAUGGGGGCAACCCUGAUCCAGCGACGCCGCGUGUGUGAAGAAGGCCUGCGGGUUGUAAAGCACUUUUAGUGGGGAGGCAGGUCUGCGACCUAACACGUCGUGGACUUGACUUAACCCACAGAAAAAGCACCGGCUAACUCUGUGCCAGCAGCCGCGGUAAUACAGAGGGUGCAAGCGUUAAGCGGAGUGAGUGGGGGUGAUGCCGUAAGAGGGGUGUGAAAGCCCCGGGCUCAACCGGGGAAUUGCAUUCGAGACUGCGAAGCUGGAGUGCGGAAGAGGGAAGUGGAAUUUCCGGUGUAGCGGUGAAAUGCGUAGAUAUCGGAAGGAACAUCAGUGGCGAAAGCGACUUCCUGGUCCAGCACUGACGCUCAGGCACGAAAGCGUGGGGAGCAAACAGGAUUAGAUACCCCUGUAGUC
rnacentral:rRNA from 1 species